rnacentral:rRNA from 1 species
CUACGGGUUGCACCAGCAGGGAAUAUUGCACAAUGGACGGAAGUCUGAUGCAGCGACGCCGCGUGGAUGAUGAAGGCCCUCGGGUUGUAAAAUCCUUUUCAGGGGGACGAGGAAGGACGGUACCCUUGGAAUAAGCGUCGGCUAACUACGUGCCAGCAGCCGCGGUAAGACGUAGGACGCAAGCGUUAUCCGGAUUUACUGGGCGUAAAGCGUCUGUAGGCGGAAUGGUAAGUUGGACGUGAAAGCUCCGGGCUCAACCCGGAGAGGUCGUUCAAUACUGCCAAACUAGAGGGCAUCAGAGGGGCGUGGAAUUUCCGGUGUAGCGGUAAAAUGCGCAGAUAUCGGAAGGAACACCAAUGGCGAAGGCAGCGCUCUGGGAUGAACCUGACGCUAAGAGACGAAAGCUAGGGGAGCGAACAGGAUUAGAUACCCGAGUAGUC